GAGAGUUUGAUCCUGGCUCAGGAUGAACGCUAGCUACAGGCUUAACACAUGCAAGCCGAGGGGCAGCAUUUUAGUUUGCUUGCAAACUAAAGAUGGCGACCGGCGCACGGGUGAGUAACACGUAUCCAACCUGCCGAUAACUCGGGGAUAGCCUUUCGAAAGAAAGAUUAAUAUCCGAUGGUAUAUUAAAACCGCAUGGUUUUACUAUUAAAGAAUUUCGGUUAUCGAUGGGGAUGCGUUCCAUUAGUUUGUUGGCGGGGUAACGGCCCACCAAGACUACGAUGGAUAGGGGUUCUGAGAGGAAGGUCCCCCACAUUGGAACUGAGACACGGUCCAAACUCCUACGGGAGGCAGCAGUGAGGAAUAUUGGUCAAUGGACGAGAGUCUGAACCAGCCAAGUAGCGUGAAGGAUGACUGCCCUAUGGGUUGUAAACUUCUUUUAUAUGGGAAUAAAGUUUUCCACGUGUGGAAUUUUGUAUGUACCAUAUGAAUAAGGAUCGGCUAACUCCGUGCCAGCAGCCGCGGUAAUACGGAGGAUCCGAGCGUUAUCCGGAUUUAUUGGGUUUAAAGGGAGCGUAGGUGGAUUGUUAAGUCAGUUGUGAAAGUUUGCGGCUCAACCGUAAAAUUGCAGUUGAAACUGGCAGUCUUGAGUACAGUAGAGGUGGGCGGAAUUCGUGGUGUAGCGGUGAAAUGCUUAGAUAUCACGAAGAACUCCGAUUGCGAAGGCAGCUCACUAGACUGCAACUGACACUGAUGCUCGAAAGUGUGGGUAUCAAACAGGAUUAGAUACCCUGGUAGUCCACACAGUAAACGAUGAAUACUCGCUGUUUGCGAUAUACAGUAAGCGGCCAAGCGAAAGCAUUAAGUAUUCCACCUGGGGAGUACGCCGGCAACGGUGAAACUCAAAGGAAUUGACGGGGGCCCGCACAAGCGGAGGAACAUGUGGUUUAAUUCGAUGAUACGCGAGGAACCUUACCCGGGCUUAAAUUGCAUUUGAAUAAUCUGGAAACAGGUUAGCCGCAAGGCAAAUGUGAAGGUGCUGCAUGGUUGUCGUCAGCUCGUGCCGUGAGGUGUCGGCUUAAGUGCCAUAACGAGCGCAACCCUUAUCUUUAGUUACUAACAGGUCAUGCUGAGGACUCUAGAGAGACUGCCGUCGUAAGAUGUGAGGAAGGUGGGGAUGACGUCAAAUCAGCACGGCCCUUACGUCCGGGGCUACACACGUGUUACAAUGGGGGGUACAGAAGGCAGCUACCUGGCGACAGGAUGCUAAUCCCAAAAACCUCUCUCAGUUCGGAUCGAAGUCUGCAACCCGACUUCGUGAAGCUGGAUUCGCUAGUAAUCGCGCAUCAGCCAUGGCGCGGUGAAUACGUUCCCGGGCCUUGUACACACCGCCCGUCAAGCCAUGAAAGCCGGGGGUACCUGAAGUACGUAACCGCAAGGAGCGUCCUAGGGUAAAACUGGUAAUUGGGGCUAAGUCGUAACAAGGUAGCCG
rnacentral:rRNA from 1 species